rnacentral:rRNA from 1 species
GACAGAGGGUGCGAACGUUGUUCGGAAUUACUGGGCGUAAAGCGCGUGUAGGCGGCAGCGUAAGUCGGGCGUGAAAUCCCACGGCUCAACCGUGGAAGUGCACUCGAAACUGCGCAGCUAGAGUCCUGGAGAGGAAGGUGGAAUGCUUGGUGUAGAGGUGAAAUUCGUAGAUAUCAAGCGGAACACCGGUGGCGAAGGCGGCCUUCUGGACAGUGACUGACGCUGAGACGCGAAAGCGUGGGUAGCAAACAGG